CCUCCCCCUAUCUCCGCCAUUUUGUGGACAGACGGUGGAGAGUCGCAGAAGUGUUCACAUUACUUCAGCCUUCACGACCAUAACCAGAUAACCUCUCACUCACACGCAUGAACCCUUGCAAGUAAUUGAACUGUGAAGAAUUAGCAGCAAUGAAUCUGAAAUAGUAAUAGUACAACCAUCACAACAGUCACCACUGCUAAAUACUACUACUACUACAACAGUGAAGUGGUGUCCAUUAGAGGUGAUGACUGUGUUGGUGAUAGAACCCUGGCAGGAAGAGGUGACUUUGCCUUGGAUAUUCAGAGUGAGGGAGACUGGCAGAAGACACAAGGUUCGGAGGCCUCCAGAGAGCUGCCCAGAGUGAAGCUUGUGGUAUAGAGGAACAGCUGCUGAUCAUCAAGCUUACGGAGUGACUGGAGGAAAGUGGGAGGAGCCUGGAGGGAGUGGUGGAGGUACAGUACUUGGAGAAAAUCCCUUCACCAUGACGACUGGGUGUCUGCUGUACAGACCACCGACCAAUGAUACCAGGAUAUGUGACCACCACCACCACCCUCACCACCACCACCACCACCACCACCACCACCACCACCACCACCACCACCAUUGGAGUCCCCUCUCUAGUUGCACAUUACGGCCCUGUUGUGUACCCUGGUGGCCUUCAUAGUUGACCGCUGAGUGCAGCUGUCGGUGACUGCAGGAAUGGACCUCAGAUGGCGGACACAACAUUACCAAGUCAAGAAGUUGUCCAGUAUUUUAUCUCUGCUCUCAAACAAGCAAUGACCAGUGGUGGUGUUGUUCAUGUCUGGCUUGUGUGUGUGUGUGUGUGUGUGUGUGUGUGUGUGUGUGUGUGUGUGUGUGUGUGUGUGUGUGUGAGUUUGUUCAUCCAUUAUGAUUUGAAGAGAUUGUGUUUGUAUUUUUAUUGUGGGACUCUGUGAUUAUACUUUGAAAUAAUAUGGCCUUAAAAUUGACCUUUGACCCUGUGUGGUAGUGGAGUGAGGCUUGCGACAGUUAGGAAUUGGUUGUCAAAAAGUGACCACAUUGGUUUUUCCUCAAUUGCUUUAGCCAUGAAAGUUCUAUUCCUUGUGUUCUUUGUCAUGAUGAUGUUUGAUUCCCUUGGUUUCCAAUUGGUUGCCUUUGUGUGAGUUUUGAUCCAGUCAUUUACUUCCCUACUUACUGAAUUCCAGGAAACAAAGGGAUUGCUUGCUCCUUUUGCUUCCUUGUGGACAAAUUCACUGCUAAUAGUUUGUUAUUUGGAAGUUUGAUUGAAGGCUUGUUCCUCCCUCUCCUCCACCCUAUGACUACUUGAUGCUAUCUAGUAAAAUUCUUCACAAUGAUGUUUUCCAUGCCUUCGCUGCCCUAAACCCUUGGAAAGCUUGGAGGGGUCCCUCCUCUUGUUCUUCAAAACUGCAUUUCUGUGCUUGCACCUUGCCAAGUCAAACUCUUUCAACUCUGUGUGUCAACAUGUAAUAAUAUUACUUCUUGCUGGAAGUUUGCCUACAUUCAGCCUGUUCCUGAAAAGGGUGACCAUUCUAAUCCCUCAUACUACUGUCCUGUUGCUUUAAUUUUCUGCCUAUCUGAAGUUUUUGAAUUUAUCCUCAAAAGGAAGAUUCUUAAACAUCUAUCACUUGACAACUUUCUAUCUAAUUGCCAGUAUGUGUUCCAUAAUGGCCAGACAAAAGAAAACAUGUGUUCAGUGGCUUCAGCCACCACCAAUGGUCUCUCUUUUUAAGAUUUCCUGCUUAACUAAUGUUUAAGUAUCUCAUUACAAAGAUAAGAAUAUAGAUAUCAUAAAGAUGGUUAUUUAUAUUGAUUAGCAUAUUAGCAUUAUGAAUGUUCCUGUUCAUAUGAUUAUAACUAUCAGCAGAAAAAAUUGUAUAACAUGUGUCAUUCAUUUACUUGAAGCUGCAUUGUCAAGGAAGCUUGAUACACUUUUCAGUGAUGUGUUUAUGUGCUAACAUAUGUGUGCUUGGAGCAUAAAAGAUAGUCUACACUAUAUUUUGACAGAUAAACAGUUGGUAUGAAAAAAUUACUUUUACCUACAGCACUUACUUAAUUUGCAUUUGGGCACCAUCUCUUUGAAAAUAGUCCAUUUGAGCAGCAAUACAGCAGCACAUUCAGCACUGUUGUCACCCCUGAAACUUAUUCUGGAAGUGUUGUUCUCUAAGCAUGUCAAGCAUCUACUGUUUGUGCAGAAUCAUCUCCACAAUGGACAGAAGAAGCAUCAGGCCAAAGUCUGUCAGGAAUUCUGUCAGCCAGCCAUGAAUGACCCAACCUUCAUGUCAAAGGACAUCUCUGGGAACAAAAUUUGGGUUUACAGGUAUAACCCCCUAACCCAAACAAGUCUUUACAAUAGAAGAGUCCAGCAUCUCCAUGCAGGGCAUGAGGCAGGUCUGGAAAACCACUAAGAGCAUUUUUAUUCAAUGUCUUUGAGAUUCAUAGGAUAGUUCAUCAUGAAUUCAUCCCCCAAAAAAGAUCAUCAACUGCCAGUUCUACUCAAGUGUUUUGAGGCAUCUGAGGACAUUAAUUUUGGCAGAUAUGGCUUGAAAUGUGGUGCAAGGCUAAAUGGAUGCUCCAUGAUGAUGAUGAUGAUGCACCCUCUCUUACAUAUUAUCUCUUAUAAUGCAUGGGCUUCUCAGAUGCAUGAUUAUCCCUUUGCAGCUGCCCUACUCAUCAGAUUUGGUACCAACCCUUGUGACUUGUGUCAUGCUCCCCACAUGGACAUUCAUUCUAUGGAAACAAUGAGAAAUUGAUCUCAAGAUGAGAUAAGUCUUUAGCCAUGACAAGUUGUAGCCAGCCAGGGAUUGAACCUCUCACUGAGAGAACACAAGGAUGACACCUUAGACAUUGAGACCAUGAUGACUGUCAGGUCCCAAGUUCAGUUUUAGGACAUUUAUACUCCUAAUCUCUGCACUUUUUUUUCCUGGAAAUAAUAAAGAUGCAGCUGAA